rnacentral:misc_RNA from 1 species
UUCGUAGGUGACCUGCGGAGGAUCAUUGUCGAUGCCUAAACAUCAAACGACCCGCGAACGCGUUAACAAACAAACUGUCCGCGCUGGGGUCGGGGGAGGCACGCUCCUUCGGACGUGCCCCCUCCCCCCUCCCCGGCGCGCCUAAACCAAACCCCGGCGCAGGUCGCGCCAAGGAACUUGAAAUGAACCUGCUCGCCCCCCGCCCCGGCCUCGGUGCGCGGGGGGCGAAGCGUUCUUGUCGUA